rnacentral:lncRNA from 1 species
AGGUGGGGAGACUCUUUGAGGUGAUGUCUGUCUCAUUAUUCCUUAUAGGCUUUAACGUUGGCUAGUGAUUUUUGUCUCAGUCAACUACUGUGACGAUGGCAAGAUGGUUUGUGUCAAUUAGAUGUGCAUCCUCCUUGACUCUGUGAACUCCAGAGCCAGACUGGGUCACGGAAGCUGUGAGGUGCCUGGCCGUACCCCUCCCUGUCUCUGCCUCCUGAAGUCUGGCCUACCAUCUCCAGAAGGCUCCAGUGGAGUUCCAGAACAAUGCUGAAGACUCAGGAAGAGUGAAAGAGAGAUUUAGGGCCCAGGGUGACAACAUCAGAUCCACAGAACUUGCCUCUAGGCCUCAUUCCUGGCUCCAGGUAAACCAGGGGGUUGUGGGUAAGACUGGGGCGAUUUGGUGCGGCCUCUGCACCUUGAACCUUCUAUUGUGUCCCCAGUCUUAUUCUUGUUGAAGGCCUCAGCAGAUUUUUCCUCUGAGCUGGUAUAUUAGGGUUCUCUAGAGGGACAGGACCAACAGAGCGUGUAGGUAAUUGUGAGAGGGAAUUUAUUAGAUGGGUUUACGUGAUCAAAGUCUGGAUAGUCCUACAAGGGCAGUCUGAAGGCCGGAGAACCAGAGAAACCUGCAGCUGCCACUCCAAGAAGCUAAAAACCUCAGGACAAGAGGAUCCAAUGAUGCAGCUCUUGUCUGAAACUCGAGGCUUCCUGGAGAGUGGCUGGUAUGAAUUUGCACUCAAAGGCUGAAGAAUCUGGAGUCAGAUGACUGUGGGCAAAGGCAGCAGCAAGAUCCACUCGCACUUGAGAAGAGUCCAACUUGCUUGUGACUUCGAGCUUCCCCCUUCCUCCACUUUUUGUUCUACCUGGGCUCCCAGCCUGCUGGAUGGUGCUGGCUGCUUUCGGGGGCAGCUCUUCCUCACUCAGUUUGCUAAUCCACAUGCCCAGGGUAUGUGGAAACACCCUCACAGACACACCCAGAUGUGUGCUUGGCUAAUGUUC